AAACCCAUAAGAUAAUUAAUAAAUGACGCAAUGGCCUUUGUUCAGCGUUUUUAUAGCAGUUUCUCUGUAGCAUUUUAUAUUUGUAUUGCUGUAAUCAUCAUAAAACCCUCUUUUUCUUUAACUGUGCUGGCCCUGGCCUGUGCCCACUUUCUUUGUGUCUGUCUCAUCUAUCUCUUGCCUGGAUUGUUUAUUCUUUUCUUUGUAAGUCUCGUGUGUCAUUUGCUGAGGUGUAAUCUUCAGUCCUUGGCUCUGCUUUCUGCUGUGUUUGUUUUUCCCUUGAACACUCUUCCCUGGGUCACAGCUUCAGAAAUCUUCAUAAUAAUGUCUUAAUUUUUUUUUUUUUAAAUUUAGCUCUAUUCUUUCUCUGAAAUCUCAGUUUAGAUCUAGGCACUACACUUUAAAGAAAGACAUAGUGAAAGCAUUGAAAGCACAUCAAAUGAUGUUUAACCUAAAGAAGAGAAGACUCAAUGGGACAUGAAAAGUGCCUUCAAUUAUUUGAAGGGCCAUUAUGUGAAAGAAGGAUAAAGUUUAUUUUGGGUUUCCACAGGGAACAGCUACCACCAAAGCUUAGAAUUUUAAGGAGGCAUACUUUUGGAUCAGUAUAAGAGGAACAUUUAUAAAAAAUUGAACGGCAAAAAAAAAAAAACAUUAAAUUCGUGGAAAAACAGGGAAUUUUCCUGUCAUUAAAAAAAUGUCAAACACAGGUGGAAUGAUGAUUUGCUAGGGAUGAUGUUUAAGGGGAUCGAUAGAUCAAAUGAAGACACAGCCUUAUAGUUUUUAAAGUCCAUUUCAACUCAGAAAUAAUAUUGUGCUAUCAUCCCUUUGGAUUUUCCAUUCUUUGCUCAGUUCAGGCAUAUCUUCAACAUAAUUCAUCAUGUUCCUUUUUAAGUUCACUUUCCAGAUGACUUCCCAGCUGCCAGUACAACUCUCUCUCCAUAGAUCACCACGCACAUUUGAAACUUCAGCACCAUCUCUGCCUCAUUUUCCUCCUUUGCUUCUCAGGUGUAACCAGUCUUCCAGUCCAGUCCAUUGUCUUUUGGUAAAGCUUCUUUCAUUAUUCCUUUAUCCUUCCCAUGAUAAAUCUGGCAAUUAAGAACUUUAUCCAAAACCUUACUUACUUCAGAGAGGCAUUUAGCUUUAAGUCAAUGUAAGUGAUAUACUUGUAUAAAAGGGACAUUUAUGCAUUGUAAAUUAUCUGGAAAUAUAGGAUAUUGAAACCACCUUGGCAAAAAAUUAUAACUGAGGCAAUUAUGACAGUGAAAGAGAUAAGACCUCACUGAUUCUAUCUUGCCUGGGGACCGGUCUGCUUUUGUAGGAUUAACAAAUUAGCUAGAAGAUUAAAAAUUACUAUUUAGCGGCCAUGCGGCCUCUGGCUGCAAGAGGCCAAAUCUCCGCAGGUUGCACCUAAGAAUAACAUCACUGUUGUAAAGCCUAAGAUUGGUGUUUGAGAUAUUUUGCAGGCCCUGCAUUCCGAUGCACCAGCUGACACCACUCAGAUCCAUAAUCUGGCUCAAUCAGUUCUGCGAUUCCACUCAGGAACAGAAGACAGCAAGAAGAACUCACUUUGACCCUUCAUGAUUUAAUCUUCAACUCCAUCAGUCAGCAUUCCCCCACUUCCUGAGCCCCUUCCCACCAAAUUAUCUUUAAAAACUCUGAUCCAAUCCUUGAGUUUUCUCAGGGAGACUGAUCUGAGUAAUAAUAAAACUCUGGUUUUCCACACAGCC
rnacentral:lncRNA from 1 species